ACAUGCAGUCGAACGAUGAUGCCCAGCUUGCUGGGUGGAUUAGUGGCGAACGGGUGAGUAACACGUGAGUAACCUGCCCCUGACUCUGGGAUAAGCGUUGGAAACGACGUCUAAUACUGGAUAUGAUCACUGGCCGCAUGGUCUGGUGGUGGAAAGAUUUUUUGGUUGGGGAUGGACUCGCGGCCUAUCAGCUUGUUGGUGAGGUAAUGGCUCACCAAGGCGACGACGGGUAGCCGGCCUGAGAGGGUGACCGGCCACACUGGGACUGAGACACGGCCCAGACUCCUACGGGAGGCAGCAGUGGGGAAUAUUGCACAAUGGGCGAAAGCCUGAUGCAGCAACGCCGCGUGAGGGAUGACGGCCUUCGGGUUGUAAACCUCUUUUAGUAGGGAAGAAGCGAAAGUGACGGUACCUGCAGAAAAAGCACCGGCUAACUACGUGCCAGCAGCCGCGGUAAUACGUAGGGUGCAAGCGUUGUCCGGAAUUAUUGGGCGUAAAGAGCUCGUAGGCGGUUUGUCGCGUCUGCUGUGAAAUCCCGAGGCUCAACCUCGGGCUUGCAGUGGGUACGGGCAGACUAGAGUGCGGUAGGGGAGAUUGGAAUUCCUGGUGUAGCGGUGGAAUGCGCAGAUAUCAGGAGGAACACCGAUGGCGAAGGCAGAUCUCUGGGCCGUAACUGACGCUGAGGAGCGAAAGCAUGGGGAGC
rnacentral:rRNA from 1 species